CACUAAGAUUUACAAAUUUUCCAGAGUUACAGGAGCAGCAGAUCUGGGAGGGAGACUGGCUUGGGGAGUGACAGUUCUGAAAAAACACCAAAUUGGGAAGAGCUAUUUGUGGAGCCCCACAUGUGAAUAGUUCACACCUCUGGGUUCAAUCCCAGCAUCCUGAAAGGCUGUGGCAGGAGGGUCACAAAUUCCAGGGGAUCCUGGGUAAUUUAGUGAGACCAUGUCUCAAAAUAAAAUUUAAGGUGGGUGUAGUGGUGCAUGCCUGUAAUCCUAGCUCCAGCAAUGUAGAGAAGCCCUAAGCAACUGAGCAAGACCCUGUCUCAAAAUAAAAAAUAAAAAGGGCCGAGGAUGAGGCUCAAUGGUUAAGUGCCCCUGAUUUCAAUCUCUGAUGAAAGAAAAGAAAAGAAAGAAAGAAAGAAAGAAAGGAAAGAAGGAAGGAAGGAAGAAAGGAAGAAAGAGAAAGAAAGAAAGAAGAAAGCAGGGGCAGCGUUGGAGCAGAACAGAGUGAACAUAAUGUGGACACUGUCCUCCUUGGGGAGCUAGAUGGAGUUGGGGUCAAGGAACUAUCAACACCGUCCUGCUCAUCCUGCCCAUGAUGAUGGAAAAGGAAAGUCCAAGAAGAAGUUGGGUCUGAGCUGGAGUCUGCAAAAGGGGGCAAGAUGAUCACCCUAGGGAGCACCCAUUGCCCAUAUAUGGGUAUAGG
rnacentral:lncRNA from 1 species